GUGGGGAAUCUUCCGCAAUGGGCGAAAGCCUGACGGAGCAACGCCGCGUGAGUGAAGAAGGCCUUCGGGUCGUAAAGCUCUGUCUUCAGGGACGAAAAGGCAGGGGAGUAAUAUGCCCUUGUUGUGACGGUACCUGAGGAGGAAGCUCCGGCUAACUACGUGCCAGCAGCCGCGGUAAUACGUAGGGAGCGAGCGUUGUCCGGAAUUACUGGGCGUAAAGGGCGCGUAGGCGGGAAUUUAAGUAAGGUGUGAAAACUCCGGGCUCAACCUGGAGAGUGCACUUUAAACUGGAUGUCUUGAGGGCAGGAGAGGAAAGUGGAAUUCCUAGUGUAGCGGUGAAAUGCGUAGAUAUUAGGAGGAACACCAGUGGCGAAGGCGACUUUCUGGACUGUACCUGACGCUGAGGCGCGAAAGCGUGGGGAGCGAACAGGAUUAGAUACCCGAGUAGUCC
rnacentral:rRNA from 1 species